UGACAUUGAUAAAUGCAACAUACCACUACCAUUGCAAAUGCCAUAGUCUGUACCGAAAAUGAGAAAAUAAAUCUGGAAAAGAUCUUUUCUUUUUUGAAGAAGAAACACGCCAUCAAGAAAACCCAAACCAAAAGUUGCCUGUGAGAGAGGGACGAAUCCAAGGAAGACGUUGCUAACGAUAUGCUCCAAUGCAAUGCAAUGCCUAGGGGUAAGCAAUCGGUUGGGUUGGUCGGUUCGUGAAAAAAAAAACCGAAAAUUGAUUUAACUGAAUUCCCCUUUUUAUGGAGUCGAAACUGAUCCAAUUUUGGGGGAAAACCCAAAAACCAGCAUGAGUAAUUUUCGGUUGGUUAACCGAUCGAAC
rnacentral:lncRNA from 1 species